ACAAGUGUAUAGUUAAUAUCAAUAGACUUCUGUAAAACCCUGUGUAGCCUUGUGCCGAGCCGAUAACCAAAAGCAAUGGGAAAGGUCAGUAACUGUAGUAGUAUUUUGUAGAUGUUAAGAAGAUGACUGUAGCUGGCAGCUAGAGUGCUAGCUGAGAGUACAUCCUAACGGUCUUCAGGUUUGUACGUGUAUAGGGUGUAAUGCUUGAGUUAACGUAUGUCCUUUAAUGGCAGGUGGUAGUUGGGCUCUACAUGGUAUUCCUACAUGGGAGCAAGACCUACGGAUCGUUUAAGCUAUUGCUGUGCAUCCAGGUGACUUCCACCAUGUCCUUUUUUUCCAGAGGCGGCGGAGGAGUUGUUCAGGGUGACAGAGGAAAGCUGGGGAAAUGCUGUAAGAAGAUGAUGGGUGAGCCUCAAAGUGGCAGCUGGAACUGACAGAGGCUGGGCAGGCAAGCUGUCAAAGAAAAGAUGUGCUUUGCGGGAGAGACACAGUGUGGUGAUGAGACUUCAGAGAAGGCUACGGUGAGCGGUGACGGGUGGGCUGAAGCGUAGCGAUUCGUCCUGAGGUGCCGCGUUGCAGGUGGUCGUGAGCAACAUGCGUUUGGCUCUUGCAGGUGGUGGGCGAGCCUCAAGGUGGCGACCGUAUCUGAUGGAGGCCAGGCAGGUGAGCUGUCGAGGGAA